GUGUUACGUGCCUUGUUAACUCUGACAAUCAGAAUUGUAUGUAUAAAUUGAUGCAUGAGACACUGACCCCUGUGCUAGGAGUAGCUGCAAGGGUGGAGAAUAGGAAGAUGGUGGGUCACGAAUGAACACAGUAAAAGGAUGCAACAAGUCAGGCUGAAGUAAAAGCAGCAUUCACGGAAUCAAGGAAAUAACGCGGAAUCAAGGAAAUAAAGCAGAAAGGCUUUACAAUUAUUUGUGUACAGGAUAUUUUAUUUUACUCCAAAUGGAAAUGAAUUUAACUGAACAUGCUCGUUUCGCCGUUUAUCUUAAUGGGAUUUUGGAAGUGUUGGAAAACAGAACAAAGGAUCAACAAACGAAGAACAACGAAAAUGCCCACGUGUUCAUUUUAGUCAUCAUUAUAUUUUACGCUGUUCUUGCUGUAGCGCUGCUGCUUUCUCAUUCCAAAGCCACACUGAAAGAGAACAAGAACGACCCUUAUCACAUCUACAUCAAGAAGAACUGGAACGCCGCUGAUCCGGCAAAAGGGCCACAAGAAGACGACAAACACAGGGUCGAGUUUGAACACUUGCUUUAGUUGAAGCGUUUGCUUCUAUUUUAUAGGAGCUCAGAUGACACUAAAUAAAACAUCGGACACUGAAAAUCCAGAAUUAAACUGAAGAACUCAAUACGGGACAUGCUUUAGUUGCAACUUUAAUUGUUUAGGGCGGGGGAAGUAAAAACACAAUUGUUUUUUAGACAUUUGAAUGUGAUUUUUCGCGUGUGAAACAGUACUAUUAAAGUUCACUUAAUGAUGCAACAAGCGUCUUGCUGUUGGCAUCGUUUAUCAGAUGUUUCUCUUUUUUUUUUUUUGGACCGCUGUCCUGGGUCAUAAGUAUCCCCGCUACUCAGUCUGCCCUUCCUAAGGUAGCCGCUAAUGGGUUCGUGUUAAAGGGAAAACGGGAACGCCCAAGAACGGAAAUGUAAUGGAAAGUAAUGAAAACUUGGGAGGCUACUGAUGGAAUACGAACUUCAGACAAAGUUACACAAUUGGAGCACGGCAAUAUAAACUAAACUGGAUCCACUUAUGCCGCAGUACAUAACACAUGUUCAUUGUGGCGCCCCGUUUGAAAAAAGUCGACCAUACAUUAUUAUUUAUCAAGAUAUCUCAUUGUUGAGAGCUGUGUAGAAUAAUAGCUUCAAAAUAUUUCAGGUUGGUGGUGGUGGUACAGAUUUCAAGCCUACUGAGCUUCUGAGAACCUAGCUUCUCUGUAACUUCUCGCUCCUCAAAUGCGCCACAUACGUUGCAUUAAAAAAAGGCUUUUAAAAUUACACAUUUAAAAACAAUAACACAUGCUUGCGAUUUAUUUGUUUUCAAAACCUCGUACAAAUGCAGGUAGUAAAAAAAUAUUGCAGCUCUUUAAUGUUUAAAUACACAACACGACUGCGUUAUUGUUUUGACUUUGUUAAUACUGCUGCAGUAAUAUUUGUGUUAAUGACACAAAAAACACGAUACGUUCCAGUUUUGUAAAAGUGUAUUGCAGACAGUUCUUGAACUCCAAUUUAACAACAUGCAUUUGAAAAAAUCUAACAUGUGUAGUUUUAAAAUAGGACUUAAAACAUUGUGGUGACUUUGUAAAUACUGUAGUAGAAUUGUUGUGAUUUGUUUCUUUUCAAAUGCCACUUUUAAAAGCCUGUGCUUGUAGCAUAUGUAACCGUAUGUGUUCUGCAAACUAUUUAAUUUAACAAAGCCACACGACUAUACUAUCCACGGUAAGAUCUCAGUGCUGUACAGAAGUAAUGUACUACCAGCGCAACAAGAUAACAGUUCUGGAAUAACAUUGGUUUUAUGGGUGUGAUUCAACAAAUAUUUGUGGACUUACAGUAACAGCUUAACAAUGAUUUCCCUUAUUAUAAAAUGCGUUUGCAGUGUGAAUGCAGAAAAUUAUUUGGCUAGCAGCCCUGUAAUUGAACAUGAAUCCCAUUUUCAUACUGCUUAUAUAGCCUAUGCAUGAGCUAGAUUGUACACUUUAAAUUAUAUAUAUAUAUAUAUAUAUAUAUAUAUUUCCAUGCGUUAUACUGAUCUGUGUUUUCCAGAAACAUUACUGUUUGAAACAUAAUAUUCUACUCUAACACAAACUACAUUCUGGAUAUUGACAAACAUUUUAAAAAUACAGUUAAAAUAUGUCUUUGUAACGGUUUACCAUCAAACUAUAAUUCCCUGUGAAAUGCAUUACCAUUUUUUAAAAAUGUUAAUUCCUUAUAAAAAUGUGCAAAGUAAAAGGUAAAAUGUAUCUUUUGCCUCAUUCUAAAUGUAUAUUUUCUUUUUAUGAUAUUAAAAAUCCAACCCCCAAAA